rnacentral:rRNA from 1 species
GACGAAGGAUGCGAGCGUUAUCCGGAUUCAUUGGGUUUAAAGGGAGCGUAGGUGGCCUUAUAAGUCAGUGGUGAAAUCCCGCAGCUUAACUGUGGAAUUGCCAUUGAUACUGUAGGGCUUGAGUACAGAUGCCGUUGGCGGAAUAUGACAUGUAGUGGUGAAAUACAUAGAGAUGUCAUAGAACACCGAUUGCGAAGGCAGCUGACGAAACUGUAACUGACACUGAGGCUCGAAAGUGUGGGGAUCAAACAGG